UACGUAGGGUGCAAGCGUUAUCCGGAUUCACUGGGUUUAAAGGGUGCGUAGGUGGGUCUGUAAGUCAGUGGUGAAAUCUCCGGGCUUAACCCGGAAACUGCCAUUGAUACUAUAGGUCUUGAAUAUCCUGGAGGUGAGCGGAAUAUGUCAUGUAGCGGUGAAAUGCUUAGAUAUGACAUAGAACACCAAUUGCGAAGGCAGCUCACUACGGGAUUAUUGACACUGAGGCACGAAAGCGUGGGGAUCAAACAGG
rnacentral:rRNA from 1 species